UUGGUUGUCGUCAGCUCGUGUCGUGAGAUGUUGGGUUAAGUCCCGCAACGAGCGCAACCCCUACGUUUAGUUGCUAACGCGUGAAGGCGAGCACUCUAGACGAACUGCCGUUGACAAACGGAGGAAGUGGGAUGACGUCAAAUCAUCAUGCCCCUUAUGUUCUGGGCUACACACGUGCUACAAUGGCCGGUACAGACGGACGCAAAGCCGCGAGGUGGAGCAAAUCCUAAAAAGCCGGUCUCAGUUCGGAUUGCAGGCUGCAAUUCGCCUGCAUGAAGUCGGAAUCGCUAGUAAUCGCAGGUCAGCAUACUGCGGUGAAUACGUUCCCGGGCCUU
rnacentral:rRNA from 1 species